GUAGCUGGGCUAGACUUCUCUCAAGGCCCAUUAUUUUUGAUAAAGUGUCAAAUUAGGGUCUGUGCUUGCAGACUAGCCAGACCUUGUAAUAACAAUUGCUGGUAUUCAUACAAACUGCAAACUUAAAUAGAGGUUUAAAACCGUGACUGAUGAAGUAAAGUUAAGCCUUCUUCAGAUAUUAAAGCCAUAGUCAACUGUAGCAUUUUAUGUUUGUUUUUGUUUUUAAAUGACACGAGUGUAAUAUGCAUCACAUUUUUGUGUCUCGUAACGUAGAGCUAGGUAAAUAUGCAUAAGAACUUCAAUGUUAAAAAAGUCUUGGUUUACUGCGGAAUAUGUGAAAACGUCUUAAGUACCUAGUUUUAUGGUUCGCCAAAUGUCAACCUCUUACUGUAAAAAUAAAUCACCUAAACCUGCCUUAAGUUCAUUAUUUAUAGAGCACAGCCACUUUUUCUAAAGAGCGCAUCCAUUUAUUACACGAUGCAUAGGAUGAUCUAGAAUGGGCACCUAUAAAUCUCCAAGUCACAAAGAUUGAUUUUGGGUAGGGGUAUAGAGGUCGAUUGAUCAAAGGUUCACCCAUGGCCUUUGUGGCCUUUAAUUAAUAAUUAAUUAAAGAUAUCAUAAUACAUGUUCAAAAUUCACAAGCACAUGAAGCUCACGUAAUGUCAAUCUUUUUAUUUAAUUUCUAAUUUGUAUUUAA